ACUGAUAGUACUGAUCUCUUCCCGUGCAGGCCAGAGUGAGUUUUAGGCCUAGAACAUAGAAGAGACACAAGGAUUCUGGUGAUAAAGAACCCCAAAAGAACCCCCUUCAGAAAAAAUCAGGACUUUCAUCUAAUGAGAUAUCAGUAAGGUCUUCUUUUCCUUGAGCACCGCCUUCUUCAAAUAGCCACUUCUCAAGGAAUGACAAUGGCACUUGGUCGCUGAGAUCCGGCUUGCUUUCUUCCUGGAAAAAGCUUGCCUCAGGGGAUUUAGAUUGGGAAAUUUCAGAAUUGGAAGAGUCCAAGGAGUCGAAUCCAAAGAGCAUUUCAUAUGCUUCAGUUAAUUCAAUGUCUUCGUUGUUUGCUGCACUUGGGGUCCCUUCACUAGAGGUGGAAUCGGUCCCAGCAGUGUUGAUGAAUGAAUUUUGAGUGGUAGCUGAGCUUGCUCUAGCUUGCUUGGGCGAAUUUCUCAUCCACCCUUCUAGCAACCGAGCAAUGUUCUCAGUACUGGAUGCAUAGGAAGAUGCUUGACCAGGUCUUGUGCAAGUCUGAUAGCCAUUAGUGGGGUUCAAUUGAUCAGAGGAACUGUGUGGCUUCUCCAGAGACAAGGCCUCAUGAAGAGCUUGCUUAGCCAUGUGGAUAUCAGUUUGAAGCCUUCUCUCCCACUGGCCUCUUGAGAU
rnacentral:lncRNA from 1 species